rnacentral:rRNA from 1 species
UACGUAGGUGGCAAGCGUUGUCCGGAAUUAUUGGGCGUAAAGCGCGCGCAGGCGGCCUUUUAAGUCUGAUGUGAAAGCCCACGGCUCAACCGUGGAAGGUCAUUGGAAACUGAAAGGCUUGAGUACAGAAGAGGAAAGCGGAAUUCCACGUGUAGCGGUGAAAUGCGUAGAGAUGUGGAGGAACACCAGUGGCGAAGGCGGCUUUCUGGUCUGUAACUGAUGCUGAGGCGCGAAAGCGUGGGGAGCAAACAGG